AAUUAUAUAGUCAAUAAAUGACGCUGAAUUGCAAAUUCAGAAGAGAAAAUAUUUCUAUAGUUU
rnacentral:tRNA from 1 species